AGAAGUGAGAGUGUGUGAGAACGUGAAGAGAAGAAGAGAAAGAGGAGUUGCUGCCAUGGGCAGCAGCCCUGCUGCCAUAUGCAGCAGGGUGUGUGAGCUGGGAGUUGAGUGAUCCUCCUCCAUGUAUUUAUUGUAUCCUUUCUCUAUCUCUAAAUAAUAUGGACUCUCUCCCGUGGAUGUAGGCGGUUUUGCCGAACCACGUAAAAUAUUGUGUCAGUGUGCUUUAAGCCUCCUUUGAGCAACUAUCAGUACACCCCCGGUCCGCGCAUGGGGGUGUCGGAAUUCCCCAACAAUUGGUAUCAGAGCUGAUGGUUUAAAGGGGUGUUUGUUUUUUGCUCAAAAAUGAAAGUUGUCAAAAUUGUGUUUUGACCAUACCACUGUGUAGAGGAGGAAGCGACGAAGCCACUGGUGAAAACGGCGUCAAAAUCGGACGUCGGACAUGGCCGCACUCUCCAUCACUCUCCGGCAAGGCGUCUGCCUACGCGCGCAGACGCGCCCCACGCGUGCCACGCGUCUUCUUCGCCCGGAUGGGCUGACCCGACCCGAAUACCAGUUGACCCGACCCACAUGGCUGACCCGGAUAUUAAUGACGUCAGCAUGACCUAAUUGUGAUGUCAGCAUGCACAGUAGGCAUGCCAGGGAUGACAUCAGCCUGAUGUAAGUGUGAUGUCAGCAUGCACAGUAGGCAUGCCAUGUCAUCAGCCACAUCAUCGACCAGUCAGCAGACAUGUCAGCAAAGUGGGACCCACAUGCCACAUCAUCAGACGCGAGCCGAGCCAAGUCGAGCCGAGUUGAGCCGAGCCGUUGUGAAGCCGAGCCGAGCCGCGAGCCGAGGGAUAAGAUUCUGUGCAGCAGAGUCUAUGUGAAACCGGAUCUGAGAUUGAAUCUAGGCCGUUCAUCAGGCCAGAAUUGUUUUGAUCAAAUCGUAGCCGUCUGAAAUGCGAUUUGGACGAUUUCAGACUUGUUUCCAGCUAAUUUGAUCAUUCCGGAUGCAAUGGUACGGUCCGAUCGUUGAGAUUUGAGACCAAAAAUGGCGGUGGUGAAUUAACAAAAGAGAUUGCCCGAUCAGGAGGCAUCUGAAGGUCAUCAUGGUGGUCGAUGGAGAUGAAGAAGAAGAAGGUGCACAUGUUUACCCAAUUACAUGUGCUGAACUGCUAAGUGGGGAGAAUUUUUCAGUUGCCUUGAAGGAAGGCAAAAUUGGGACACUCUGGACACCCGAUUAUGUGGACAAUUUGAGGUGUAGAGUGGAAACUGAUGAAGACCAAUCUUGACGAAUCUAAGCACUGGUAGUCUCGCCAGAUGUUGAGAAAUGAUGUAUUAAACCAGUAUAUUCCAGAUCACUUGUAAAGGAAAGCCGCAACAAAGCUAGCAAAUGGUUGUAUAUACGGAAAGACAGUACGAUGGAUAGAUAUGGCCUAAGAAGUUCUGUCUAGGAGAUUGGGUUUUAAGCGGGACCAGUGUGACCCCUCCAAUCUUUCCUGGGAACUUGCUUAGUGGAAGGAUUAUCCAUACGGUACUAUUUUCGUAUAUAUAGCAGUUUGUAAUGAAACGGUUGAAGACUAGCAGGACGACGGCACAAGGGAACAGUUGGGUUCCGUAUGAUCAAGGAUCUGAUGAAGUGGUGAUUUCUCCAAAGAAGUUAGAUUCGGUGACUGUGAUUUCUCGAGGGAAGAAUUGAUGAAGACCCUGAUAAUGGUAGAGAAAUACGGCAAGGAGAUAAAGAUUGGCACCCUAUUUUGACUUAGAUAGAUGUGGUGACAGGAUGAGCUGCUGUCAAACAUAAGCAAGGAAUAGGGGAAAAAUCUGGAGAACAGAAAUUGCACGAGGGCACACGGAGAUUGUGCAUGAGUACCCGUAAGAUCCAACGAGGUACUGUAAUGAGACAACAGGUGCAAGGAGAAGAAGAGUUCCCAGAUGAAGCUCAGAGCAAAGACUGUUAAAGUUUGUACAACAGGAAGUCUCUUGUGCUCUUAAUGAAGACAACAUGCGAAGACCUUUCCAAUGCAUGCAAGGAUGGAAAGAGAGCUGUUGCAGAGGCACCUAAUUGAGGGGGUGCAAAUGCCUGUGAUACAAGGCAACCGCCUAUGAUGAAAGGCGAAGACACCAAAGAGAGUUGGUGUAGGUGGAGCUGUCAAGCAGAAAGGCACAGAAGCUCCAAACAUAGAAAUUGAGGUGGAGGAUUGCGAGAAGUAUACCGCAACUUUCUCUUUCUAUGUAGUCAGUGGCAGUAAUCUCUCCCAUAGUGCACAUGGUGGUAGAGAAUUUUGGAGCCACUUUAAAGCAUCUCAGCUGAAGGAGGAUGCGACCGCCCCAUGACAACGGGCGAAGACACCGUAGAGAAGGUGUGAGGGCUAUGAGAGGAGCCCCAGUUCAGACCGCCCUAUGACAACGGGCGAAGACACCUUAGAGAAGGUGUGAGGGCCAUUAGAGGAGCCCCAAUUCAGACCGCCGCAUGACGACGAGCGGAGACACCUGAGGAAAAGGUGUGUGGGCCAUGAUAUGAGCCCAGGUCAGAACGCCCCAAAGCCGAUGUGAUGGCUAGAUACAAGUGGACAGGUGUAUGGAUAGCCAAUGAAGAGGUUAUGAUGAGUAUGGAGACAAAUGCAGGAUUGACUUUCAUGGAUAUUGCCCCCAUGCUAAAGAUCAAUGAGCUAGAAGACAUUUGCCUUGGACAAUAAGUGUGUGACUUGUGGAGCAUUAAGACGCGGCUGCUAUGAAGAAGCAGAAGGGCAUGCGCAGGUUCCGAGAACGAGUUGACUCUUGUCAAGGUGGUGAGCUCGGUAAUGGCAUUGUAAUACUCAGAGUAUGAAGACAGAUAUGGAUCAACCUUUAAUGGGCUGCCCCCAUGGUUAAAGGUGGAGAGCUACCUGGACUCUUACGACUAAGAGCGAGAGACUCACGGAGAAGUAAGGCGUGGUUCCUAGGGUGGAACAGAGGGCAGGCGCAACUCCUGGAUGAGUAGACUCUUGGAAGAGUGGUGAGCUUGUGAUCACAUUGAAAUACUCAAUGACUGUCGCACUUGGAAAUAUUUGUUUGAGGGGGUGUUGGAAGCCUUGGUGUAAGGCUUGAAAAAUCAUUCCGGACCGAGCAUGGUUGAUACGCUCGAAGGGGAAUGUUGUGUUGAAGACGCUCUCAAAAUGGAAACUUGGAAGAACUGCAGAAUGCAAGCUUGUGCUGAAGAAGCAAGAAAACAAUUGCCCACACAAAUGGCAAAGGGGGUGAUUGUUGGGAUAUUGCCAUUUAUUGGCAAUACCCCACCACUAAUUGUGGCUUAGUGGAAGCAUCACUAAUGCCACAAUUAGUGGCAUGAUUUCGGGACCUAUUGUCCCCUUGCUAUUGCUGGAGAAAGUUGACCAUAAAAUGCCUAUAAAGGAGGCUUAUAUUUGAGAGAGAAAUGAGAGAGAAGUGAGAGUGUGUGAGAACGUGAAGAGAAGAAGAGAAAGAGGAGUUGCUGCCAUGGGCAGCAGCCCUGCUGCCAUAUGCAGCAGGGUGUGUGAGCUGGGAGUUGAGUGAUCCUCCUCCAUGUAUUUAUUGUAUCCUUUCUCUAUCUCUAAAUAAUAUGGACUCUCUCCCGUGGAUGUAGGCGGUUUUGCCGAACCACGUAAAAUAUUGUGUCAGUGUGCUUUAAGCCUCCUUUGAGCAACUAUCAGUACACCCCCGGUCCGCGCAUGGGGGUGUCGGAAUUCCCCAACACUUAGGUCCAAAGUUUUUUCAUCUGCGUUGUCUCUCUAAAGAUUUGUGCUUAGUGUGCAAACAUUUUCUGCUUUCCAG
rnacentral:lncRNA from 1 species